rnacentral:rRNA from 1 species
GAUGAACGCUGGCGGCGUGCCUAAUACAUUCAAGUCGAGCGAACGGACGAGAAGCUUGCUUCUCUGAUGUUAGCGGCGGACGGGUGAGUAACACGUUGAUAACCUACCUAUAAGACUGGGAUAACUUCGGGAAACCGGAGCUAAUACCGGAUAAUAUUUUGAACCGCAUGGUUCAAAAGUGAAAGACGGUCUUGCUUUCACUUAUAGAUGGAUCCGCGCUGCAUUAGCUAGUUGGUAAGGUAACGGCUUACCAAGGCAACGAUGCAUAGCCGACCUGAGAGGGUGAUCGGCAACACUGGAACUGAGAAACGGUCCAGACUCCUAAGGGAGGCAGCAGUAGGGAAUCUUCAGCAAUGGGCGAAAGACUGACGGAGCAACGCCGCGUGAGUGAGGAAGGUCUUCGGAUCGGAAAACUCUGUUAUUAGGGAAGAACAUAUGUGUAAGUAAAUGUGCACAUCUUGACGGUACCUAAUCAGAAAGCCACGGCUAACUACGUG